rnacentral:ncRNA from 1 species
UUAAAGACUGUGAUGAGGAGGAGUAUAUAUACUCUGGAAACAAAGAAAGGGAAUGUUGAUGGAAAUUUCCCAUGAAGGAUAUAUAGAAGGUAGCCUCGGAGUUGUUAAUGGAAAUGUAAAGAGUAGAAUUAAACGGAGUCCCACUGUUAAAAGGGAAGUAGUAUCGGUAAUAGCUUUAUUAACCUGUACUAUAUUAAGUGUGUAUUUUUAUAUACAAAUCAAGGUGGUACCGCGGAGAUAUAUCCUUCGUCCUUAUU